CCUACGGGAGGCAGCAGUAGGGAAUAUUGCUCAAUGGGGGAAACCCUGAAGCAGCAACGCCGCGUGGAGGAUGAAGGUUUUCGGAUUGUAAACUCCUUUUGUUAGAGAAGAUAAUGACGGUAUCUAACGAAUAAGCACCGGCUAACUCCGUGCCAGCAGCUCCGAUAAUACGGAGGGUGCAAGCGUAACUCGGAAUCACUGGGCGUAAAGAGGGCGUAGGCGGGAUAGCAAGACAGAUGUGAAAUCCUAUGGCUUAACCAUAGACCUGCAGUUGAAACUGUUAUUCUAGAGUAUGGGAGAGGUAGGUGGAAUGCGUGGUGUAGGGGUAAAAUCCGUAGAGAUCAAGAGGAAUACUCAUUGCGAAGGCGACCUGCUAGAACAUAACUGACGCUGAUGCGCGAAAGCGUGGGGAGCAAACAGGAUUAGAUACCCCAGUAGUC
rnacentral:rRNA from 1 species